UACGUAGGGGGCAAGCGUUGUCCGGAAUCAUUGGGCGUAAAGAGCGUGUAGGCGGCCUGAUAAGUCGGUUGUGAAAGUCAAGGGCUCAACCCUUGAAUGCCGACCGAUACUGUCAAGCUAGAGUCCGGAAGAGGCGAGUGGAAUUCCUGGUGUAGCGGUGAAAUGCGCAGAUAUCAGGAGGAACACCAAUGGCGAAGGCAGCUCGCUGGGACGGUACUGACGCUGAGACGCGAAAGCGUGGGGAGCGAACAGG
rnacentral:rRNA from 1 species